UACCGGCAGCUCGAGUGGUAGCCGCGAUUAUUGGGCCUAAAGCGUUCGUAGCCGGAUAAGUAAGUCUUUGGUUAAAUCCUACGACUCAACCGUGGGAAAUCUAGAGAUACUGCUUGUCUUGAGACCGGGAGAGGUUGGAGGUACUCCUGGGGUAGGGGUGAAAUCCUAUAAUCCUAGGGGGACCACCUGUGGCGAAGGCGUCCAACUGGAACGGGUCUGACGGUGAGGGACGAAACCUAGGGGAGCGAGC
rnacentral:rRNA from 1 species